rnacentral:rRNA from 1 species
UACGUAGGCAGCAAGCGUUGUUCGGAGUUACUGGGCGUAAAGAGUGCGUAGGCGGUGUCGAAAGUUUGGCGUGAAAUCUCCCGGCUUAACUGGGAGGGUUGCGCCGAAAACUGCGGUGCUGGAGUGUGGGAAAGGCAAGCGGAAUUCCUGUGUAGCGGUGAAAAUGCGUAGAUAUCAGGAGGAACACCGGCGGUGUAGACGGCUUGCUAGACCAUACUGCUGAGGCACGAAAGCGUGGGUAGCAAACAGG